rnacentral:misc_RNA from 1 species
AAGGAUCAUUACCGAGUGCGGACCCUCUGGGUCCAACCUCCCACCCGUGUUUAUCGUACCGUGUUGCUUCGGCGGGCCCGCCACCCCGGCCGCCUGAGGGGCCCCUGUGGUCCCCGGGCCCGCGCCCGCCGAAGACGCCCUCGAACCCUGUCUGAAGUUGCCGUCUGAGUACACUAGUUAAAUGUUAAAACUUUCAACAACGGAUCUCUUGGUUCCG